GAUGAACGCUGGCGGCGUGCCUAAUACAUACAAGUCGAGCGAACGGACGAGAAGCUUGCUUCUCUGAUGUUAGCGGCGGACGGGUGAGUAACACGUGGAUAACCUACCUAUAAGACUGGGAUAACUUCGGGAAACCGGAGCUAAUACCGGAUGAUAUUUUGAACCGCAUGGUUCAAAAGUGAAAGACGGUCUUGCUGUCACUUAUAGAUGGAUCCGCGCUGCAUUAGCUAGUUGGUAAGGUAACGGCUUACCAAGGCAACGAUGCAUAGCCGACCUGAGAGGGUGAUCGGCCACACUGGAACUGAGACACGGUCCAGACUCCUACGGGAGGCAGCAGUAGGGAAUCUUACGCAAUGGGCGAAAGCCUGACGGAGCAACGCCGCGUGAGUGAUGAAGGUCUUCGGAUCGUAAAACUCUGUUAUUAGGGAAGAACAUAUGUGUAAGUACCUGUGCACAUCUUGACGGUACCUAAUCAGAAAGCCACGGCUAACUACGUG
rnacentral:rRNA from 1 species